AUCUGGGUGGAAUCCGGGCGGGAUCCGGGUGAGAUGUUGGUGGGAUACGAGCGGGAUCCGGGCAGGAUCCGGGUGAGAUCCGGGCGGGAUCCAGGAGGGAUGCGGGAUCCGGGCAGGAUCCGAGUGGGAUGCGGGUGGGAUCCCGGCGGGAUCCGGGCGGGCGCUGCGGGACCGGCACCGGCAGAGGGAGCUCGGGCCGGCGGCACCGAAUUUUGGCUUCCCUUUGGCAGGGUCCCCACCCCAAGAAAGCGAUGAUGCGAGUUGAAUUCAGGCAGCAGAAUUCCAGGAUCUCGUGGCACAUUCAUCUAGGGGAAGACAAAGCCCCAAAGUUCAGGCAGGAAGAAGGAUUAUGGAAUCAUGGAAAACCCUGAUACAGCUCCAGCUGCUCCCUGGCUCUUCCCCUGUCACAGGGGCAGAGAUGGGAGCUGCCCCGGCAUGAAGGAUUCAUUAUGAACAUUUUCAAUGUGAGAGAUGAGGCCAAUGUUUCAGGGAUCCAAGGAACCAGGCUGCUGCAGGAAUGUGUUCUGUGGCAGGAUAUCAGAUUCCUUAAUUUCUUACUGUCUCUCCUGGCAUCUGGGAUAGAGACUCUUCCUGAAGGAUCUCUAAUCCCUGGAUUUUCAGAGGACAAAAACCAUCAGAACCUGAAAUCUCUCUCUGGGGCCCUGAGCAAGCUGAUCCAUCCCUGCCCAUGGAAUGAGAUGAUGUUUAGGGUCCCUUCCAACCCAAACCAUUCCUUGAUUCUCCAAUUCCCUGAUUCUCUGCUUGGAGUUGCAUGUAUUUCUCUUUUCCUGGCACUCAGCAGGUGGGGGCAGGAAUGGACGCUCAGGGCUAGGGCACAGCUGAGGGACAAGGGACAGUUGGGCUGCUUUUGUCACCUCCUGGCUGCAGAUGAUGCAAGGGAAAAGCUCGAGUGGCUCCUGGCACUCCAGACUCUGAUUUGCCAACAGGCAGCUGGAAAUAGCACAUGGAAUGGCAUUUCUUAAGGUCUGACCACCUUGAAUUCCCAAGGAAUGUUUGAUUGAGGUCUAACCCUGCUGAAUUUUCAAGGAAAGGACUGAGCCACGUGGCUCUCUGCUACACUCGGGCAAGAGGAUGAAGUGCUCUUCUUCCAGGUCACUUCUAUAUCUAAGCCAUAAAUCCCAAAAAAGUGGGGAAGGGUUGUUAGAAAUGCUCCAUCCACCACAGGGCCCUGUUGUGCUGGGUGCACCUCAGCUGUUCCUGCAGCCUCCCAAUAAAUCUGUGUCAA